rnacentral:lncRNA from 1 species
GGCAAGAGGUACCUAAAAUGUGUGAGAAAGAAGGCAUUAUAAAUUUGAAAUUUACUUUUUUCAGACAAAUAAUCUCUACUCCUAUAUAAGGCAGAUAGCAUUGGAACUGUUUUAUCAAAAAUUUUGUUUAAGUGUAGUGACCAAUUUAAAUUUUCAUCUAUUUGCAAACCUAAAUAUUUAAUAUUCGACACUUUUUCUAAUAUUACAGUAUUAAUAUUAAUAUUUAGAUUAUUGCUGACUGACUUAUUUUUUUGUUUGAAUAUCAUGUAUUUGGUUUUCUCAAUGUUAAUUUUUAAUUUAUUUGAAAACAGCCAUUUAAGAUAACAUUUUAGGUCAUUAUUAAUAAGUUGUGUUAAAGAAGUUUCAUCUGUUCCAGCAUAUACCAGUACAGUGUCAUCUGCAAAGGUCUAUGAAGACAGCUAUAACUAUUUGUUGUUUAUCUAAUGCCAUUGAAAUACAGUCUACAAAAUCCACAACCGCACCAAGUGUACUACUGUUCUUUAUAAAGCCAUAUUGAUAUUUAUCAUUCAAUAGAUUGCAAGAGUUAAUGAAAGAUAA